UGUGAAGUCAUUGAUGCCAUGCUUCCAGGAAAAGCCUCUAAGCUUCAGAUUGUAAGGAAUCGUACCCCAAACCGACACAGGUGGUCGGGUAGAGAAUACCAAGGCGCUUGAGAGAACUCGGGUGAAGGAACUAGGCAAAAUGGUACCGUAACUUCGGGAGAAGGUACGCUCUCGACGGUGAAGUCCCUCGCGGAUGGAGCUAUUGAGAGUCGCAGAUACCAGGUGGCUGCAACUGUUUAUUAAAAACACAGCACUGUGCAAAAUCGUAAGAUGACGUAUACGGUGUGACGCCUGCCCGGUGCCGGAAGGUUAAUUGAUGGGGUUAGACUUCGGUCGAAGCUCUUGAUCGAAGCCCCGGUAAACGGCGGCCGUAACUAUAACGGUCCUAAGGUAGCGAAAUUCCUUGUCGGGUAAGUUCCGACCUGCACGAAUGGCGUAAUGAUGGCCACGCUGUCUCCACCCGAGACUCAGUGAAAUUGAAAUCGCUGUGAAGAUGCAGUGUACCCGCGGCUAGACGGAAAGACCCCGUGAACCUUUACUACAGCUUGGCACUGAACAUUGACCCUACAUGUGUAGGAUAGGUGGGAGGCUUUGAAGCACGUACGCCAGUAUGUGUGGAGCCGUCCUUGAAAUACCACCCUUGUAGUGUUGAUGUUCUAACGUCGACCCCUUAUCGGGGUUGCGGACAGUGCCUGGUGGGUAGUUUGACUGGGGCGGUCUCCUCCCAAAGAGUAACGGAGGAGCACGAAGGUGGGCUAAUCACGGUUGGACAUCGUGAGGUUAGUGCAAUGGCAUAAGCCCGCUUGACUGCGAGAAUGACAAUUCGAGCAGGUGCGAAAGCAGGUCAUAGUGAUCCGGUGGUUCUGAAUGGAAGGGCCAUCGCUCAACGGAUAAAAGGUACUCCGGGGAUAACAGGCUGAUACCGCCCAAGAGUUCAUAUCGACGGCGGUGUUUGGCACCUCGAUGUCGGCUCAUCACAUCCUGGGGCUGAAGUCGGUCCCAAGGGUAUGGCUGUUCGCCAUUUAAAGUGGUACGCGAGCUGGGUUUAGAACGUCGUGAGACAGUUCGGUCCCUAUCUGCCGUGGGCGUUGGAAGAUUGAAGGGGGCUGCUCCUAGUACGAGAGGACCGGAGUGGACGAACCUCUGGUGUUCGGGUUGUGUCGCCAGACGCAUUGCCCGGUAGCUAAGUUCGGAAUCGAUAACCGCUGAAAGCAUCUAAGCGGGAAGCGAGCCCUGAGAUGAGUCUUCCCUGAUACUUUAAGUAUCCUAAAGGGUUGUCGGAGACUACGACGUUGAUAGGUCAGGUGUGUAAGUGCUGUGAGGCAUUGAGCUAACUGAUACUAAUUGCCCGUGAGGCUUAACCAUACAACACCCAAGGGGUUU
rnacentral:rRNA from 1 species